rnacentral:rRNA from 1 species
GACGAACGCUGGCGGCGUGCCUAAAACAUGCAAGUCGCACGGAGGAGCAGCCUUCGGGCUGGGCCUCAGUGGCGGACGGGUGCGUAACACGUGGGUGACCUGCCCCCGAGCGGGGGAUACCGCCCCGAAAGGGGCGCUAAUACCGCAUAGCCUGGCGGGCGCGCGCCCGCCAGGAAAGCCUUCGGGCGCUUGGGGAGGGGCCCGCGGCCGAUUAGCUGGUUGGUGGGGUAAGAGCCUACCAAGGCGAUGAUCGGUAGCUGGUCUGAGAGGACGACCA